rnacentral:rRNA from 1 species
UACAGAGGUCUCAAGCGUUGUUCGGAUUCAUUGGGCGUAAAGGGCGCGUAGGCGGCGGGGUCAGUCGGGUGUGAAAUCUUGGGGCUUAACCCCGAAACGGCACUUCGAAACUGCCCGGCUGGAGGGCCGGAGAGGAGAUCGGAAUUCACGGUGUAGCAGUGAAAUGCGUAGAGAUCGUGAGGAAGACCCGUGGCGAAGGCGGUUCUCUGGGACGGUACUGACGCUGAGACGCGAAAGCGUGGGGAGCGAACAGG